rnacentral:rRNA from 1 species
GACGGGUAUCCGGCCUGAGAGGGUGAACGGACACACUGGAACUGAGACACGGUCCAGACUCCUACGGGAGGCAGCAGUAGGGAAUAUUGCUCAAUGGGGGAAACCCUGAAGCAGCAACGCCGCGUGGAGGAUGAAGGUUUUAGGAUUGUAAACUCCUUUUGUUAGAGAAGAUUAUGACGGUAUCUAACGAAUAAGCACCGGCUAACUCCGUGCCAGCAGCCGCGGUAAUACGGAGGGUGCAAGCGUUACUCGGAAUCACUGGGCGUAAAGAGUGCGCAGGCGGGAUAGCAAGUCAGAUGUGAAGUGCUAUGGCUUAACCAUAGAACUGCAUUUGAAACUGUUAUUCUA